rnacentral:tRNA from 1 species
GGGCCAUUGGCGCAGUUGGCUAGCGCGCCUCGUUGACAUCGAGGAGGUCACUGGUUCAAGUCCAGUAUGGCCCA